UACGGGGGGUGCGAGCGUUGUCCGGAAUCACUGGGCGUAAAGGGCGCGUAGGUGGUUUGAUAAGGGUGUGGUGAAAGUCCGGGGCUCAACCCCGGAUCUGCCGUGCCGACUGUCAAACUCGAGGACUGUAGAGGCAGACGGAAUUCCGGGUGUAGCGGUGGAAUGCGUAGAGAUCCGGAGGAAGACCGGUGGCGAAGGCGGUCUGCUGGGCGAGUUUCUGACACUGAGGCGCGACAGCGUGGGGAGCAAACAGGG
rnacentral:rRNA from 1 species